ACUGAGCGGCGGACGGGUGAGUAACGCGUGGGUAACCUGCCUCGGUACAGGGGGAUAACAGUUGGAAACGGCUGCUAAUACCGCAUAAGCGCACAGUACCGCAUGGUACGGUGUGAAAAACUCCGGUGGUAUGAGAUGGACCCGCGUCUGAUUAGGUAGUUGGUGGGGUAACGGCCUACCAAGGCGACGAUCGGUAGCCGGACUGAGAGGUUGAACGGCCACAUUGGGACUGAGACACGGCCCAG
rnacentral:rRNA from 1 species